CUAUUGUCAGCAAGAGAGUGGCCAUUUUUAAACUUAGGAAAUGCUUUCAUAGUUCUAUUGCAAAUAUGGUGUUGUGAAUCCUUGCUGUUACCUGUUUCUAAUCAAUCUGUUGUGGAAUCUUGCUAGACCUUCACUGAAGGUAUCUGAGAGCCUUGAAGUUCCUCAAGAUGGUUCAAAGGAGGAUCACAAAAGCAGAACUGCAGAAGAGUUACAAGGGUGAUAGGGUUGAAGCAACAGGAUGAGAGAUCUCAAGCAUGCUGCUAAAUAUUGUAGUCUGACAAAACUAUAUGGCUUCCUUUAUCAAGACAGCUGUGUUUUUACAUAAAUAAUCUUAAUUUGGCCUGCUCAAGGAUUACGCCUUGUACUCCAGCACACUACCUUGAAAGGUCACCUUGACUUCCCCAAGGAGUUUACUUCAAGGCAUUCAGGAUGCCAGUCCAGAAAGCCUCACAGACUGAGGUAGAUAAGAGGGCAGUUCCCUUUGACCAGGAGUACCUGCAGGAGAAGCUUGGACAGAGCUCUGAGGAAGAAUGCAGAAGAACCACAGUCACUGAAAUUCCUGGUCUCCUUAGCAACACAGGCUGCAAAGAGCUCACCAGUCUGGUGUUCUGCUGCAUGCAUGAGCUUCCAAUUCAACUGGAAGAACUUUGGUUUAGGAUUCAGAACUUCCCUUUGACCACUUCAAAAUACUGGUGAGGGAGACUCUUCUUUUGCAUAUGGUCUCAUAAAAGCUAUAAUUUCAAUGUUUAUCCUUGAAAUAUAUAACCAAGAGGAGCUUCUGAGAAAAGAAAAUUUUCGUGGCAGAAGACUGAACAACUUAUUCUGUUCCCCUGCACCAUGACCAUAGAACAAAAUAUCUUAAUACUGCAACUAAAUUCUUUAACAUAGCUCCCCUUAAUAACUUAAAAGGAUGCAAAAAUGUAUACAAGAGUAAUACUGUGUCUUUCCCAAAGCUUCUAGAAACUAAUCAUUUUUCUUCUGUUAUGAGGCAGAAAUGUGAGAAAUCUUACUACAGACACACCCGUCUGUGUCACUGUUGUGA
rnacentral:lncRNA from 1 species